rnacentral:lncRNA from 1 species
AUGGAAAAUCGUAAUGUCAAUAUGGAUGAAGGAAACGCCUCAGAAAAUUACUUACGAGAGCCAAUUUUGCGACUGAUAAAAUGCGAAGUCGAAAACGUCGGCGAUUGUGAACACACAGCGAUUGAACAUAAACAUAUAACUGUUCCUCUGCUGACAAAAAUUAAAACAGAAAUUGAUGAAGACAGGAAUCCACUUGCAGGUAUAGCAAAUAUACCCCCAGUUACAUUUGAUUUGGUCAUGAAAAAAGAAACUGAAAGUGAACAGCCAAAUCGAGGGGACAAACAUACCGUCCAUCAGUCAAAAAUCAGGGUGAAAGAAGAGUUCGUGAGAGACGACACUGACGAGGAUCUAGGAAGCUGUCCUCAAGAAAUUGAAGUUUCACAGAUGCGACAGAAUUCAGUGGCCCUCCUCAGGGUACUUGAUCAGGAACCACCAUUACACGACCAUUCACGUGUGAUAGAAGCUGCCCAAAGUGUUGCUCAUCCUGAUCAUUUGAAUGAAAUUUUACCAGACCAACGUAAAUUGGUUGUUCUUCUCAAGAAACUUGACCCAAAAUUGUUACACAACCAUCCAAGGGUACCAGAAGCAACUUUGAAUGCCAAUCAUUCUAUUCUAAACUCUCAGACAAAAACGAAGGGUCCUGUCAUGGAUUCUUUCAUUUCUUCUCUCGGCGAUUCGGCCCUAAAAUACCCCAAAACCGAGCGACAGAUCAAGAACCCUCGUGAAUCAUUGGAAAAAAGACGUGUAAAUUCCAAACGACAUAAGAAUUUCAACCAACAGCAGAAAAGAGAAAUUGUAUCAAACCAGGAUGAAAAGCACCACUCCCAGUCUCACCAUAUUUCUCAAACUGCGUACCGUGCUAGAAGACGUUUGAAUUCCCACCAGCAUCCGGCAAGGGAUCUGAUUAUAUACAAUAACCAACCCAGCGAGAACAAAAGAGGCAAGAAAGCCUCGUCUUUGAAGACAUUACACUUGGAUUCCCAGAGCGAGAAAGUCUCGUCAUUGAAGACAUUACACUUGGAUUCUCAGAGCGAGAAAGUCUCUUCAUUGAAGACAUUACGCAUGGAUUCUCAGAGCGAGAACAUGGGACGUGAAACAGGUGAAACGAAGCAACCUGCAUCAUUUCCCUCUAAUUUGUGUUUACAGUCUUCUUCACAACUGAAAACGAACCCUUCUACUAAAAACGAUGAUCGAUCUGAUUGUUCCCGCAAUUUCUCAGAAAAAUGUAUGCAAGAACAUGAUUCCAUGAAACACGACACGUUGGUCCAUGAUAAUGACCGACCGCAUUCGUUUGAUCCACCUGAACACGAACUCGCAAUGCGAAAUGAUACAGAUGACCGAUAUUUUAUUUGCGAUUAUUGUCAGUAUAAGUCCAGAUUUAAAGGCAAUUUGAAGAAGCACAUUUCCCGUAUCCACAUUUUGGAUGAUCUAUCUUUCUCUUGUGGUCAUUGUGCGAAGACAUUUUGCUCAAAAGAAUAUUUGGCUAGACAUAUUGCCCGUAAUCACAGUCAAGAUCGACCGCUCUCUCGUGAUAUUUGUACACGUAAAUUUAAAAAUAAAGGUUCUUUGCGGAGCCACGUUUCGCUCAUUCACUGCGACGAUCGGCCGUUCCAUUGCAGUAUUUGUACAUGUAAAUUUAAAUCUAAUUAUAGUUUGUGUAGCCAUAUCUUGCACGUGCAUAUAGAACCGAUCGCUCUCGCUCUUGUGGACAUUGUGCUAAACAAAUUAAGACGAAAACAGCUCUAA